rnacentral:misc_RNA from 1 species
UACGGAGGGUGCGAGCGUUAAUCGGAAUUACUGGGCGUAAAGCGCGCGUAGGCGGCGUGAUAAGCCGGUUGUGAAAGCCCCGGGCUAAACCUGGGAACGGCAUCCGGAAUUGUCAGGCCAGGGUGCAGGAGAGGAAGGUAGAAUUCCCGUUGUAGCGGUGAAAUGCUUAGAGAUCGGGAGGAAUACCAGUGGCGAAGGCGGCCUUCUGGACUGACACUGACGCUGAGGUGCGAAAGCGUGGGUAGCAAACAGG